rnacentral:rRNA from 1 species
GACGAACGCUGGCGGCGUGCCUAAUACAUGCAAGUAGAACGCUGAAGGAGGAGCUUGCUUCUCUGGAUGAGUUGCGAACGGGUGAGUAACGCGUAGGUAACCUGCCUGGUAGCGGGGGAUAACUAUUGGAAACGAUAGCUAAUACCGCAUAAGAGUAGAUGUUGCAUGACAUUUGCUUAAAAGGUGCAAUUGCAUCACUACCAGAUGGACCUGCGUUGUAUUAGCUAGUUGGUGGGGUAACGGCUCACCAAGGCGACGAUACAUAGCCGACCUGAGAGGGUGAUCGGCCACCCUGGGACUGAGACACGGCCCAGACUCCUACGGGAGGCAGCAGUAGGGAAUCUUCGGCAAUGGACGGAAGUCUGAGCGAGCAACGCCGCGUGAGUGAAGAAGGUUUUCGGAUCGUAAAGCUCUGUUGUAAGAGAAGAAAGAGUGUGAGAGUGGAAAGUUCACACUGUGACGGUAUCUUACCAGAAAGGGACGGCUAACUACGUG